AUACGUAGGGGGCGAGCGUUGUCCGGAAUGAUUGGGCGUAAAGGGCGCGUAGGCGGCCUGUUAAGUCUGGAGUGAAAGUCCUGUUUUCAAGAUGGGAAUUGCUUUGGAUACUGAUGGGCUUGAGUGCAGGAGAGGUUAUCGGAAUUCCCGGUGUAGCGGUGAAAUGCGUAGAGAUCGGGAGGAACACCAGUGGCGAAGGCGGGUAACUGGACUGCAACUGACGCUGAGGCACGAAAGUGUGGGGAGCAAACAGGAUUAGAUACCCUGGUAGUCCACACUGUAAACGAUGAAUGCUAGGUGUAAGAGGUAUCGACCCCUUUUGUGCCGGAGUUAACACAAUAAGCAUUCCGCCUGGGGAGUACGGCCGCAAGGUUGAAACUCAAAUGAAUUGACGGGG
rnacentral:rRNA from 1 species